rnacentral:rRNA from 1 species
CCUACGGGUGGCAGCAGCGAGGAAUAUUGGUCAAUGGACGAGAGCCUGAACCAGCCAAGUAGCGUGAAGGAUGACUGCCCUAUGGGUUGUAAACUUCUUUUAUAUGGGAGUAAAAUGUUCCACGUGUGGGAUUUUGUAUGUACCAUAUGAAUAAGCAUCGGCUAACUCCGUGCCAGCAGCCGCGGUAAUACGGAGGAUCCGAGCGUUAUCCGGAUUUAUUGGGUUUAAAGGGCGCGUAGGUGGAUUGUUAAGUCAGUUGUGAAAGCUUACGGCUCAACCGUAAAAUUGCAUUUGAAACUGGUAGUCUUGAGUAUGGUAGAGGUGGGCGGAAUUCGUGGUGUAGCGGUAAAAUGCGUAGAGAGCACGAAGAA